rnacentral:rRNA from 1 species
UACGUAGGGGGCAAGCGUUGUUCGGAAUUACUGGGCGUAAAGGGCGCGUAGGCGGCACAGCAAGUCGGGAGUGAAAGCCCGGGGCUCAACCCCGGAAUGGCUUUCGAAACUGCUGAGCUAGAGUACAGAGGGGGCAACCGGAAUUCCCAGUGUAGCGGUGAAAUGCGUAGAUAUUGGGAAGAACACCUGAGGCGAAGGCGGGUUGCUGGGCUGAUACUGACGCUGAGGCGCGAAAGCCAGGGGAGCAAACGGG